rnacentral:rRNA from 1 species
GUGCCAGCAGCCGCGGUAAUACGUAGGGAGCAAGCGUUGUCCGGAAUCAUUGGGCGUAAAGAGCGCGUAGGUGGCCCAGUAAGUCCGUUCUGAAAGUCGGAGGCUCAACCUCCGAAAGCGGAUGGAUACUGCUGGGCUAGAGUCCGGAAGAGGCGAGUGGAAUUCCUGGUGUAGCGGUGGAAUGCGCAGAUAUCAGGAGGAACACCAACGGCGAAGGCAGCUCGCUGGGACGGUACUGACACUGAGGCGCGAAAGCGUGGGGAGCGAACAGGAUUAGAUACCCGCGUAGUCC